GAUGAACGCUGGCGGCGUGCCUAAUACAUGCAAGUCGAGCGAACAGACGAGGAGCUUGCUCCUCUGACGUUAGCGGCGGACGGGUGAGUAACACGUGGAUAACCUACCUAUAAGACUGGGAUAACUUCGGGAAACCGGAGCUAAUACCGGAUAAUAUAUUGAACCGCAUGGUUCAAUAGUGAAAGACGGUUUUGCUGUCACUUAUAGAUGGAUCCGCGCCGCAUUAGCUAGUUGGUAAGGUAACGGCUUACCAAGGCAACGAUGCGUAGCCGACCUGAGAGGGGGAUCGGCCACACUGGAACUGAGACACGGUCCAGACUCCUACGGGAGGCAGCAGUAGGGAAUCUUCCGCAAUGGGCGAAAGCCUGACGGAGCAACGCCGCGUGAGUGAUGAAGGUCUUCGGAUCGUAAAACGCUGUUAUUAGGGAAGAACAAAUGUGUAAGUAACGAUGCACGUCUUGACGGUACCUAAUCAGAAAGCCACGGCUAACUACGU
rnacentral:rRNA from 1 species